rnacentral:rRNA from 1 species
GACGAACGCUGGCGGCGUGCUUAACACAUGCAAGUCGAACGGAAAGGCCCUGCUUUUGUGGGGUGCUCGAGUGGCGAACGGGUGAGUAACACGCGAGUAACCUGCCCUUGUCUUUGGGAUAACUUCAGGAAACUGGGGCUAAUACCGGAUAGGAGCUCCUGCAGCACGGGGGGGGUUGGAAAGUUUCGGCGGUUGGGGAUGGACUCGCGGCUUAUCGGCUUGUUGGUGGGGUAGUGGCUUACAAAGGCUUUGACGGGUAGGCGGCCUGAGAGGGUGACCGGCCACAUUGGGCCUGCGGUAGGCACCAGACUCCUACGGGACGCAGCAGUGGAGAAUAUUGCACAAUGGGCCGAAGCCUGAUACAGCAACGCCGCGUGCGGGAUGCCGGCCUUCGGGUUGUAAACCGCUUUCGCCUGUGACGAAGCGUGAGUGACGGUAAUGGGUAAAGAAGCACCGGCUAACUACGUG